rnacentral:rRNA from 1 species
GGGCCCGCACAAGCGGCGGAGCAUGCGGCUUAAUUCGAUGCAACGCGAAGAACCUUACCUAGGCUUGACAGUUGGGAAAACUGGCAGAGAUGUCAGGUCCGUAAGGGCCCCAAAACAGGUGGUGCAUGGCUGUCGUCAGCUCGUGUCGUGAGAUGUUGGGUUAAGUCCCGCAACGAGCGCAACCCUCGUCGUAUGUUGCCAGCGGAUAACGCCGGGGACUCAUACGAGACUGCCGGGGUCAACUCGGAGGAAGGUGGGGACGACGUCAAGUCAUCACGGCCCUUACGUCCUGGCUACACACGUGCUACAAUGGUCGGUACAGAGAGCAGCCACUACGCGAGUAG